rnacentral:misc_RNA from 1 species
CCGCGUAUAUGUACGACGGUUUCCCGUGUGCCCGCUAACGACGCGCUAACCGUAGCCAUUCACCCUUUCGCGUCGUCCGCCCGUCUAUCGUGUGUAGCUUUUUAACGCAAUUUUCUUACAGAACGACCGCUCGUUCAAGCAUCAUAUUCGGUGGGAAUUAGGCAAAAUCCAUCUCGCUUUCCUGACGUGAUGUCAUUGGGUCUGCGACUCGCGCAGAUUUCGUGAUUUACGCAUCGAUUUGUGACGGCCCGCAGUGGGUAAAUGUGCAUUGUGGUAAUUGUUUUCUGUGUGGCUGUGGGUGCCGUCAAAAUCGGUCGGUUUGACAUAUGCGGUCGAGUCUAAGAAGGAACAGGGACCGGGGCGGAGUGCCGCGCAUUUGAGAGAUUGAAUUUUAUCGUUUUGUACGGGCCAGAACCCGUUGCAAGUUCUGUUGUGCAGAAGAAUUUGCGUGUGUGAGGUCUGAACUCGAAGCUGGGUAGAAUCAAGUUGCGAUUUCUCAUCAGAAUCGAGGCAAAGUCUAGCGAAAAAAGGCGCGUGUCGAACAUCACGGACGCAAACCGUUCGCUAGCAUCAGCUGUCAAUCAUCUGGCUGAAUUCUAGGUGGCUAGCGGCCAACGGGUACGAAGUUGGCAACGAUACGCAGCGCUAGCCGUCGCGCGUUUGCCACUGGACUUUUUCUGUGUGCGGCCGACAGGCGAACAAUAAUUGGGAGUCGGAACGCGCUUACAGAAAACGGCAAAUGUCUGACAAUAACCGGGAAUCGCGCCUCUAAAUAUCUGUCGUGAAAUUCGUGUGUCGCCGGACUGUGCGUUCGCGGUGCCGUGAAGUGGAUUCGUGACCCAGUGAAAAGGGAAAAACUCGCCAGCAGCAGCCACAAUGGUUCGAGGACGACGUGCACGAACGGUUACAGAUUCAGCAUCGGCCGUAGCCGCAGCCAACACUCUCACCCGUAUGGCCAACGGAACUGCUCACCUUGUUGAUGAUCAAUACUGUGCCAGUCCGAAACGUAAAGAUUGUCGAAUAGAUGAUGUUGCGACCAACUUAAAGGCCGCUAUACAAAGUAUGAACGGUUACCAUCAUGCAACUAGAAACAAAUCCACAAAAGGAUCUGCAUCCGGGGGGCAUUCAACAGGUGGUGUUGUUUCGAAAGAAAUCUCAAAUUUUCAAAUAUUCGGAGCAAAGACACGAUCUCAGACAGCAAUAAGACAAUAUUUUCGUGAAACAAAGACACAAUCAACUCAAAAUGAUGGUGAGAAUGCUGACGACGAUGACGAUGAUGAUGGAGGAACUGAAUUCUAUGCAAAUGGCAAUACGAUUGGAGCCGAACUAGAAGUUCAGACCACCUCAGCCACAAAUUCUUCAUCAAUUGAUAUAUCAGAAGAUACAUGUGAUGGCCUACCAGACUGUGUUAUAUCAUGUAAAACUAACCAAAUAACUAACACAUCGGAUAAUAUAUUCCUUCAAGCCCCAGUUUUAAGUCUAAACGUCGACAAGUCACCGAAUCAGGCAUCAUCAAUUAAAAUCAAUAAAACCCUCGAGGUCGAUCCUAUUUUUCCAAACUCAAAUGGCUAUCAUCAGCUCAAUGGGCAAUUCAAUAAAAUUGUAUCCCUAAGGAGUGCAUCCCUUGAGUCUACAACUCCAAUUCUCCUAAAUACUGAUUCAAAUUCAUGUGAUAGUGGUGUUGUUGUUGAUAAGCAGACUUCCAUCGCUGUUGAAAUGAGUCCUAGUCGAAGAAGGAAACCAACAACACCACAUCGUAUCUUGUGCCCUUCGCCAGUCAAGCAUGCUAUUGUUGAGAAAUCACCAGCAAGCGCCUUAUCGAAACGAGCGAAUGGUUAUCAUCCUCAUCAUGGUCACCACGGUUAUGUUCCUGCUGUAAAUGGGCAUGCGAAUGGAUUACAAAAACGAAAUCCUAAAUCGAGAAGAAGACUGAAUGCCAAUCAAUCAGAGAAUCAUAGUUCCAUGACAUCACCCCAAUUAGUUGGUGGUGUUACCUUAAAAAAUCAUGCGUUAACUAACGAAAACGGAAGCAGCGAUUGUAGUCAAAAAUCCUUAUUCAGUUCAACUAAAACUCCAACUGCCGAACAAAAUACAGAAUACAGUAAUUAUAAGGCAACCCAAAACAAAGUUCGUAAUAAUGGCCAAAUGCAACCCCGCGAGAGGAAUUUACAGAUUCACAAUGGCAACGCGAAUAGGACGACUCAACAGCAACAAGUCGUUCCAGUGGAUACUAAUAAAAAAGUCACUGAUUUCUUCCCAGUACGACGAAGUGUUCGAAAGACUAAAAAGGCUGUGCAAGAGGAAAUGAUGCGGUCUAUAGAGAAGGCUAUUAUUGACGGACGUGAAGAUGGAUUGAGGGUUGAACAUUUUGAAGGCAAAGGACGUGGUGUCAUAGCCGAGCGUCUUUUCAAGCGCGGUGAAUUCGUUAUCGAAUACAUUGGCGAACUUAUUACGAUUUCCGAAGCCAAUGACCGUGAAACGAAGUAUUCGUUAGACGAAAAUGCUGGUUGUUAUAUGUAUUAUUUCAAGCAUCGUAAUCAACAGUAUUGCAUCGACGCGACCGCCGAAACCGGCAAACUAGGACGCUUAGUGAACCAUUCGCGUAACGGCAACUUGAUAACAAAAGUUGUUGUCAUCAAAAAUCAUCCACAUUUAGUUCUAAUCGCCAAAGAUGACAUACAACCCGGCGAGGAAAUAACCUACGAUUAUGGCGAUAGGUCAAAAGAAUCAUUACUGCAUCAUCCCUGGUUGGCACUUUAGUUCUUAUCUCGGGAUAUUCUCACCGAUUUAUUGCUGUUAAUAAUGAUAGUAUCGUAGUUAUUCUAAUACGAGCAGGGAAAGUAAGUCGAUUGAAUGAUUUUUAAGGGGGGUGUGAUGUCUUGAUGACAUGAUUUUUUCUCAGCAUCCUAUCCUGAUCCUGAUGUGUAUUGAAGUGAAUCCGGUGGCUCAGUAUUAAAGUGGAUUUUAUCUAAACACCUUUAAAUCCUGAUUUGUUGAGAUUAUCUGAAAAUGUUUGGCUGAUAUUUGGCAGUUAUUUGGAAAAUUAAUGUGCUAAGUUCAUUCUUUUAUUGAAUGUUCAUUCGGCGUUGAUUUCUGUUAUAGUAACAUUUUAAAGCAUGUAAUGAAUAGUAAUGCGAACGUAAAGAUGUCUCUCGUGUUCGUAGCUUCGAGAGUUGAUUACUGUUUGAGUGAGUUAAAUUGUAAGGGCCUUGUUGCGAAUCGUUCGCGAGAAGUCUCAUUUUGAUUAGUCCCUGAUUCUCAACGUUGGACAUAUUGGAUUACUUACAUUUGGAAAUCGAGGGAGCCUCUCGUCUUUCCACGCGACGAAAUGUAUCUUAAAUGAAAUCAAUUUUAAGGCAUGGCAUUCCGAUUGAUCCCAUGCUAGUUUUUACUGCCACUAAUAUAUUUUAUCGAAUAAUCUACGACUCUUCCGAUCCAGCGAUUAGAAUCCAAUAUGCCAACUGAACAUUCUCGAGUAUUUCGGACAUUAAAUUGUUGAUUUCAAAAAGUAGAUAAAUAACCGAAUUGAGGAGCAAACAAAAUCAUAGACAACCAGAUUUUUACUUUUAUGAUUUUUAUUUUCUGCUUAGAAUUGUACAAAUUUUAUAUAAAUUAUUUAGUGGACAUAUUGACUCCAAAAAGCCCUUGUAAAGCAGAACAACAAGUACAUUAAAAUAGAAAUAGAAAAUGCGUAGCAACUAAACAGAAUAUCUUCACAAUAACUUUGUAACACCCACACUUAAUAUGAGAAACCAGAUCAAUUUUGUUCUCUUUACUAUGGAAGGAACGCUUGUAUUAUUGUUAUACUUAUAACUAUAGAAAAAAAAACGUAAAAUUGAGAGAUAUAUUGUUUUUAGAGAAGACGAAAAAAAUAGUGUUUCAGAAUCAUGAAAGAAUUUAAACAGAGAACAUAAGCGUCAAAAUACAUUAAGGAUAGUAAGCUAUAAGUUUGGCCAUAUAUGUAAAACACCCAUGCAUGUUUUCGUUUGAAAUAUUUAUAAAAAUAGUAGAAGAAAUGAGAAAAAUUAAUUGAACCCUACAACAACAAAACACUAUUCAGCUCAAAUAAAAGUAGAGAAAAUUAAAUA